AGAGUCUGAUCAUGGCUCAGAUUGAACGCUGGCGGCAGGCCUAACACAUGCAAGUCGAACGGUAACAGGAAGCAGCUUGCUGCUUCGCUGACGAGUGGCGGACGGGUGAGUAAUGUCUGGGAAGCUGCCUGAUGGAGGGGGAUAACUACUGGAAACGGUAGCUAAUACCGCAUGAUGUCGCAAGACCAAAGAGGGGGACCUUCGGGCCUCUUGCCAUCGGAUGUGCCCAGAUGGGAUUAGCUUGUUGGUGGGGUAACGGCUCACCAAGGCGACGAUCCCUAGCUGGUCUGAGAGGAUGACCAGCCACACUGGAACUGAGACACGGUCCAGACUCCUACGGGAGGCAGCAGUGGGGAAUAUUGCACAAUGGGCGCAAGCCUGAUGCAGCCAUGCCGCGUGUAUGAAGAAGGCCUUCGGGUUGUAAAGUACUUUCAGCGGGGAGGAAGGGAGUAAAGUUAAUACCUUUGCUCAUUGACGUUACCCGCAGAAGAAGCACCGGCUAACUCCGUGCCAGCAGCCGCGGUAAUACGGAGGGUGCAAGCGUUAAUCGGAAUUACUGGGCGUAAAGCGCACGCAGGCGGUUUGUUAAGUCGGAUGUGAAAUCCCCGGGCUCAACCUGGGAACUGCAUCUGAUACUGGCAAGCUUGAGUCUCGUAGAGGGGGGUAGAAUUCCAGGUGUAGCGGUGAAAUGCGUAGAGAUCUGGAGGAAUACCGGUGGCGAAGGCGGCCCCCUGGACGAAGACUGACGCUCAGGUGCGAAAGCGUGGGGAGCAAACAGGAUUAGAUACCCUGGUAGUCCACGCCGUAAACGAUGUCGACUUGGAGGUUGUGCCCUUGAGGCGUGGCUUCCGGAGCUAACGCGUUAAGUCGACCGCCUGGGGAGUACGGCCGCAAGGUUAAAACUCAAAUGAAUUGACGGGGGCCCGCACAAGCGGUGGAGCAUGUGGUUUAAUUCGAUGCAACGCGAAGAACCUUACCUGGUCUUGACAUCCACGGAAGUUUUCAGAGAUGAGAAUGUGCCUUCGGGAACCGUGAGACAGGUGCUGCAUGGCUGUCGUCAGCUCGUGUUGUGAAAUGUUGGGUUAAGUCCCGCAACGAGCGCAACCCUUAUCCUUUGUUGCCAGCGGUCCGGCCGGGAACUCAAAGGAGACUGCCAGUGAUAAACUGGAGGAAGGUGGGGAUGACGUCAAGUCAUCAUGGCCCUUACGACCAGGGCUACACACGUGCUACAAUGGCGCAUACAAAGAGAAGCGACCUCGCGAGAGCAAGCGGACCUCAUAAAGUGCGUCGUAGUCCGGAUUGGAGUCUGCAACUCGACUCCAUGAAGUCGGAAUCGCUAGUAAUCGUGGAUCAGAAUGCCACGGUGAAUACGUUCCCGGGCCUUGUACACACCGCCCGUCACACCAUGGGAGUGGGUUGCAAAAGAAGUAGGUAGCUUAACCUUCGGGAGGGCGCUUACCACUUUGUGAUUCAUGACUGGGGUGAAGUCGUAACAAGGUA
rnacentral:rRNA from 1 species